rnacentral:rRNA from 1 species
GGGUGGUAGUCGCACGAGCGCACCCUCGUUCGUCAGUUACCUAUCUGGCGAGACUGCCGAGCCCCACUACGGAGGAAGGUGGGGAUGACGUCAAGUCAGCACGGCCCUUACGGCCUGGGCUACACACACGCUACGAUGGGCGGUACAAUGGGUCGCCAAGCCGCGAGGCGGAGCUAAUCCCACCAAAGCCGUCCUCAGUUCAGAUCGCAGUCUGCAACUCGACUGCGUGAAGGCGGAGUUGCUAGUAACCGCAGGUCAGCAUACUGCGGUGAAUACGUUCUCGGGCCUUGUACACACCGCCCGUCAAGUCACGAAAGCCAACAACACCUGAAGCCGUCGGGCUAACUCAUUUCGGUGAGAGGCAGGCGUCGAAGGUGGGGUCGGUAAUUGGGACUAAGUCGUAACAAGGUAGCCGUACGGGAACGUGCGGCUGGAUCACCUCCUUU